GUGUUUGUUGAAUUUGAGUUUGUGUGUGUUUGAACUUGAUUUUGUGGUGUUUUUGAACCUGAGUUUGUGGUUUUUGUUUGAACUUGAGUUUGUGUGUUUGUUAAACUUGAGGGUGUGGCAAUUGUUAAACUUGAGAUCUGGGUGUUGGUUGAACUUAAGUUUUUGUUGUGUUUGAACUUGAGUUUGUGGUGUUUUUUAACUUGAGUUUGUGGUGUUUUUGAACUUGAAUUUGUUGUGUUUGAACUUGAGUUUGUGGUGUUUGUUGAAUUUGAGUUUGUGUCGUAUUACAACUUGAUUUUGUGGUGUUUUUGAACUUGAGUUUGUGGUUUUUGUUUGAACUUGAUUUUGUGUGUUUGUUAAACUUGAGUUUGUGUGUUUUUUGAACUUGAGUUGGUGGUGUUUUUGAACUUGAGUUUCGUGUUUGAACCAGAGUUUGUGGUUUUUGUUAAAUUUGAGUUUGUGUCAUGUUUUAACUUGAGUUUGUGGUCUUCUUGAAAUUGAGUUUGUGUUAUUUUUGAAGUUGAGGAUUUGGAAUUUGUUGUACUCAAGGUUGUGGAAAUUGUUAAACUUGAGUUUGUGUGUUAUUUGAACUCUAGUGUGUGUCGUAUUUGAACUUCAGUUUGUGUGAUUGUUGAACUUGAGUUUGUGUUGUGUUUGAACUUGAGUUUGUGUUGUGUUUGCAAUUGAGUUUGUGGUGUUUUUGAACUUGAGUUUGUGGUGUUUUUGAACUUGAGUUUGUGUGUUUGUCAAACUUGAA